GGCCCAGUGGUCCAAUGGUAAAGGCGCUCGCCCUGGAGCCAGAGGGUCUUGGGUUCGAUCCCGGGUUGGGUCG
rnacentral:tRNA from 1 species